rnacentral:lncRNA from 1 species
AUGAAAACUGUGCCAACCUGCAGAACGCACACCUAUACCAGACUUUUGGAAAACAGAAGGCAGCCAUGCCAUGUCUGUGUAGCAGGGAAAGUCCCGGAGCAUUUGGCCUGGGAAUAAACUCCACAACCUGUAACGUAAAUGUCUCGUUCAGUGUCCACCACUCCAUGUUACUAGUUGCAUUCUAAUUGAAUAGAGCAUAAUUUAAUCAGAGGAAAAGAAGGAUUAUUCUCUCUGGACAAUGACUAUUGAUUUGCAAUAUAAUUGAAAGCCUAUUGGAAAACCCCUGAAAACUGCUGACAUAUAUUGCCUCAAAACCCCUGAUCCUUAAGAAAAGAAAAAAAGCAGUAAUCUGUUAUUUUCUUGUCCUUCCAGGGCUUUGUUUGACAACAAACCAUUGGAUAAUAAGAAGGGCCAGUGGUGACCAGUGACACACAGAAGACAAGAAGUACUAUUUAGGACGGCUGGGGAAAGUUCCUACCACCUAAUGCAGGAAAUCAUGCAGUGUCCUGUCAAGUAUGCCAAACUACUGGGUGGCGUGACGAUCACUGACAGAGCAGAGAAAGAGGACCGACUUGGAAAAUUUUGCCUGGGCAGAUGCGUUACUGCUGUUCUAAGCAAAAUGAUGUUGUGAGCUCUCUCCAGCUGUCUCCAGAGAUUGUCUAGCUGUUACCCAUGAGAAGAGGUAGAUAUCCUGAGAGGACAGAACAUUUCCCUCUGCCCAUUUCAGCUAUGCCACCGUUGGAAACAGAUGGAUUCUUCACAUCUUCAUAGUGGUGCAGAUGCUUAAGCACCUUUCUGGUGCAGCCUUGAACCUGGAUUUGCUUGAGGAACUGAAUAGAUACUCUUCCAGUGUGGGGGACAUGGAGAACUUGCUAGCCAGCUUCCAGAGACUUCCUCCUCCACCUCCCAUGGGUGAACUGCUGACUGCAGCCACUGAACUCCCUUACCUAGCAAGGUAAGUGCUGCGACCAGAUAGAAAAAGAGGUUUUUUUUUUUUUUUUUUUCAGAGUUUAGUGAAAGAAGAAGCAUUUUAAGCAAAGUG